rnacentral:rRNA from 1 species
CCUACGGGAGGCAGCAGUGGGGAAUAUUGCACAAUGGUCGCAAGCCUGAUGCAGCCAUGCCGCGUGUAUGAAGAAGGCCUUCGGGUUGUAAAGUACUUUCAGCGGGGAGGAAGGGUGUGAGGUUAAUAACCUCAUUCAUUUACGUUACCCGCAGAAGAAGCACCGGCUAACUCCGUCCCAGCAGCUGCGAUAAUACGGAGGGUGCAAGCGUUAAUCGGUAUUACUGGGCGGAAAGCGCAGGCAGGCGGUCGGUCAAGUCGGAUGUGCAAUCCCCGGGCUCAACCUGGGAAAUGCAUUCGAAACUGGCAGGCUGGAGUCUUGUAGAGGGGGGUAGAAGUCCAGGUGUAGCGGUGAAAUGCGUAGAGAUCUGGAGGAAUACCGGUGGCGAAGGCGGCCCCCUGGACAAAGACUGACGCUGAGGUGCGAAGGCGUGGGGAGCAAACAGGAUUAGAUACCCCGGUAGUC